AUGAGGGGGAAACUAUUUGAUCUAUUUUAGAAUAAGGCUGUAACGUAUCAAAAUGUGGAAAAAGUAAAGGGGUCUGAAAACAUUCCCAAUGCACUGUAGGUGUAAAAGGCCAAUAUCAGCCGAUAGUAAUAAUAAUUAAUAACAUUUCUAUAGCGCUUUUCAUAAUCCCCUAGCGCUUCAAAAGAAGAAAACAAACAAGCAAUACAUCAUCAUGAGUAGCCUAGCUAUAGUUAGCUAGGUCAACCAAUACAUCAUCAUGAGUAGCCUAGCUAUAGUUAGCUAGGUCAACCAAUACAUCAUCAUGAGUAGCCUAGCUAUAGUUAGCUAGGUCAACCAAUACAUCAUCAUGAGUAGCCUAGUUGUCGUUAGCUUGGUCAAACAAUACAUCAUCAUGAGUAGCCUAGCUAUAGUUAGCUUGGUUAACCAAUACAUCAUCAUGAGUAGCCUAGCUAUAGUUAACUUGGUCAACCAAUACAUCAUCAUGAGUAGCCUAGCUAUAGUUAACUUGGUUAACCAAUACAUCAUCAUGAGUAGCCUAGCUAUAGUUAGCUAGGUCAACCAAUACAUCAUCAUGGGUAGCCUAGCUAUAGUUAGCUUGGGGUCUGAAUACUUUCUAAAUGCACUGUAUAUGAUUAUAAUAUAAUACACAAGGUCCAGUAUAAAGGUGUUUAUUUCAUGAGUUAUGAUAUUGUAGUUUGAAUAUUAUUUGUUGUUUCAGUUGCAUAUCUUCCACCUGUAAAUGAGUCAGACAAAAACUACAAUGUUGUUUUCAAGGUGAAGAGGCCAAGGCAUUCUUUCAACUAGUCUGAUCUGUAAUGUACUUAAAUAUUUGUCUAUUGAAAAGUAUUUAGUGUUCUGUUCUGGUUCUAUAUGAAGAAGAUGCCACAUCAAGUGUAUAUCAGGUUGGUUGAUACGUUUGGACACAUGGUACUGUCGUCGUAACUGUGUCAUCAACACAACUUCUUGUUAUCUGAGGGACGUCCCUUUUGUAACGGAUGUCUUCUGGAGAUAGAGAGGAGGACCAAAAUGCAGCGUGAUGAUUAUCCAUUUUAAUGGGAUACCUAAACAACGAACAAAAACAAUGAACCGACAAAAAGAACGAAGACGAAACAGUCCCGUAACGUGAAUACCAACACAGGAACAAUCACCCACAACCCCACAAUACAAAACAGGAUCCCUAAAUAUGGUUCCCAAUCAGAGACAACGACUAACACCUGCCUCUGAUUGAGAAACAUAUCAGGCCAAACACAUAGAAACAGACAAACUAGACAUACAACAUAGAAUGCCCACUCAUAUCACACCCUGACCAAACAAAACAUAGAAACAAACAGCGCAAACUAUGGUCAGAGUGUGACACCUUUGUUUUAUUUGUCUACAGUGUUGUGGUUAAGUAUUGAUACCCUAAUUGGCAGUGUGUAACAUCAGUUGUCGUUUUUGGUGAACAUAAUUUGCUGAAGAUUUGCUGGUUGACGUAACGACUACCAUGUCUGUGUGUGUGUGUGUGCCUUGCUGUUAAUUUCUUUUCUGAUUAUUUUAAUGUUGAAGGCCUGAAGAGAUAGUCCUGAAUUAUAUAUACUGUAUAUAUUUUUAUUUUACCCUUAUUUUACCAGGUAAGUUGACUGAGAACACAUUCUCAUUUACAGCAACGACCUGGGGAAUAGUUACAGGGGAGAGGGAGAGGAAGGGGGUUGAGUGAGUCAAUUGUAAACUGGGGAUGAUUAGGUGGCCAUGAUGGUAUGAGGGCCAGAUUGGGAAUUUAGUUUGGGAAAUAGAUAGUCCUGAAGAGGUAGUGGUUGAUUUUUGGUGUGCUUGUCGUCCAGUUUGACUAAUGUCCUGCUGGAGCAGACGAGAGAGGCGGGGCAUAGCAAUGUUUCAGACAUACUGGUCCUAUGUUCUAUCAAGUCAUAUGUUUAUAUUACUACUAAUGUGUUUUACAAUUCAUUGUUGUAUAGAUUUUUGUAGCACUGCUUGUAAAAUGAAUUUGGGUAUCUAGAUAUGAAAUGACUAUCACAUUGAUCAAACCUAGUAACAAUAGUGCACGUAUGAGGAGCUAAUAAAAUGACAUAAGUGUUCUGAUACCUUA